CCCCUUCCGCCGGAACCUUCCUGCGCCUAUAUUGGGGGUGCCGGGAAACCGGCUAUGGCGAUAAACGGCUCGCGUAAUAGCCGAUGCGGACCCGGGGGCAGUGCCCGGCGCCUCCACCAUCCACGGGGGCGAACCAGGAUCGACGCGCGGGUAAAGGCCUGUCUUUCGCUCGGCAUGGUUCCGCCGUCAUCGGGCCAUUCUAGAGAUGCCAACGACAACGUGGCUCUCGCUUCGGAAGCGCGUCUGGCCGCCUAACGGCGUCCAAACGUAGGACCUAAGCGCGGCUCGGGGGGCGCCGGGCAACAGAAGCCCCCCACU
rnacentral:tmRNA from 1 species